UCGUCGCUUUUUAGAAUAACCCUGCGCUGCUAUCAUGCAGUCGACGCUUCUUUUUCCACCGGAGCUUGCUCCACCGGAAAAAGAGGAGUGGCGAACGGGUGAGUAACACGUGGGUAACCUGCCCAUCAGAAGGGGAUAACACUUGGAAACAGGUGCUAAUACCGUAUAACAAUCAAAACCGCAUGGUUUUGAUUUGAAAGGCGCUUUCGGGUGUCGCUGAUGGAUGGACCCGCGGUGCAUUAGCUAGUUGGUGAGGUAACGGCUCACCAAGGCCACGAUGCAUAGCCGACCUGAGAGGGUGAUCGGCCACAUUGGGACUGAGACACGGCCCAAACUCCUACGGGAGGCAGCAGUAGGGAAUCUUCGGCAAUGGACGAAAGUCUGACCGAGCAACGCCGCGUGAGUGAAGAAGGUUUUCGGAUCGUAAAACUCUGUUGUUAGAGAAGAACAAGGAUGAGAGUAACUGUUCAUCCCUUGACGGUAUCUAACCAGAAAGCCACGGCUAACUACGUGCCAGCAGCCGCGGUAAUACGUAGGUGGCAAGCGUUGUCCGGAUUUAUUGGGCGUAAAGCGAGCGCAGGCGGUUUCUUAAGUCUGAUGUGAAAGCCCCCGGCUCAACCGGGGAGGGUCAUUGGAAACUGGGAGACUUGAGUGCAGAAGAGGAGAGUGGAAUUCCAUGUGUAGCGGUGAAAUGCGUAGAUAUAUGGAGGAACACCAGUGGCGAAGGCGGCUCUCUGGUCUGUAACUGACGCUGAGGCUCGAAAGCGUGGGGAGCAAACAGGAUUAGAUACCCUGGUAGUCCACGCCGUAAACGAUGAGUGCUAAGUGUUGGAGGGUUUCCGCCCUUCAGUGCUGCAGCUAACGCAUUAAGCACUCCGCCUGGGGAGUACGACCGCAAGGUUGAAACUCAGAAGAAUAUAUUGACAGGAGA
rnacentral:rRNA from 1 species